GACGAACGCUGGCGGCGUGCUUAACACAUGCAAGUGGAGCGACGAACCAGGCUUCGGCCUGGGGCAGAGCCGCGAACGGGUGAGUAACACGUGGGUGACCUGCCCUGAUGACCGGGACAACCCGAGGAAACUCGGGCUAAUACCGGAUGUGCUCCCAGCCAUAACGGGCUGGGUGGAAAGGUAGCUUCGGCUUCCGCGUCAGGAUGGGCCCGCGGCGCAUUAGCUUGUUGGUGGGGUAAUGGCCUACCAAGGCUUCGAUGCGUAGCUGGUCUGAGAGGACGAUCAGCCACACUGGGACUGAGACACGGCCCAGACUCCUACGGGAGGCAGCAGUGGGGAAUCUUGCGCAAUGCGCGAAAGCGUGACGCAGCAACGCCGCGUGGGGGAAGAAGGCCUUCGGGUUGUAAACCUCUUUCAGUUGGGACGAAGGUUCGGCGGUGAAUAGCCGUCCGGACUGACGGUACCUUCAGAAGAAGCCCCGGCUAACUACGUGCCAGCCGCCGCAGUAAGAC
rnacentral:rRNA from 1 species